GUAAUUUUCUAUUACGUUAAAAUAUAGAUGAUUCAUAAUUUAUAACAUAUAAAAAGACGAACUUUAUUUAUAACAAUAGUUUUGACGUACAAUAAAGUCACGGCAGUGAUUCACAUAAAGUGGUUCAUCCUCAUCUGGAUGACCAAGUGUACGCAAUACCGAUGUAUUAUAAAAGUAUUGCCAUUGAUGUGUCAGAAUGCUGCAUAAUAAAGCUAUUUGUUAUUACUUCCUGUAUAUAUCAUUAAUUUUAUUUCAUUAUAACAGUAUUUAUAAAAAAUAAUAAAUAUAAAAUAAUAGUACGAAAAUAAAAA